CAUAAACCCAAAUUAAAUUCCAACCAAUGGAGUCUCCCUAUUGGGCUCUUUUAGCAAUGGCAUCCCUAGCAGCUUUAGCUUUCCUCUCAAAAUUAUUAUUACCCUUCAAACGCAACCAACUAAAACUUCCCCCAGGUCCCAAAACUUGGCCUAUCAUAGGCAAUCUAAACCUUAUCGGUCCUCUUCCUCAUCAAUCUCUUCACAAAUUGGCCCAAAAAUAUAGACCAAUUAUGCAACUCAAGUUUGGAUCCUUUCCUGUUAUGGUUGCAUCAUCUGCAGAAGUGGCAAAGCAAAUCCUGAAGACACAUGACCAUGUCUUUGCUUCUAGACCCCAAACUGCUGUUGGUAAAUAUAUCACUUAUAACUAUCUCAAUAUUACAUGGGCACCUUAUGGACCCUAUUGGCGUCAAGGGCGUAAGAUUUUCCUCUCUGAGCUAUUUAGCUCAAAACGACUCGAAACCUUUCAAUAUGUUCGUGUUGAAGAAAUGCGAGCCUUUGUGUCACGCCUUGGCACCUUGUCAGGGAAUCCAAUUAUGCUAAAAGAUCAUCUCUCCCGUCUUACUCUAAGCAUUAUAAGCAGAAUUGUAUUGGGUAAGAAGUAUUUUAGUGAGUCCAAACAUGAAACUUCGAUUGUGACGCUUGAAGAAUUUCAAGAAAUGUUAGACGAGGUGUUCUUGCUAAAUGGGGUAUUCAACAUAGGGGAUUGGAUACCAUGGCUCAAUUUUUUAGACUUACAAGGGUACGUGAAACGAAUGAAGGCCUUAAAGAAAAAACUUGAUCGAUUCUAUGACCAUGUGUUUGAUGAACACAAAGCAAAGAAAGAACGAGUGAAGCAUUUUGUGCCAAAGGACAUGUGGAUUUAUUAUUGCAGCUAAGUGAUGAUCCUGAUCUUGACGUUAAGUUAACCUAUGAGGGUGUAAAGGGUUUCACUCAGGACCUCAUAGCUGGGGGUACAGAUACCUCUGCAAAAACUGUGGAAUGGGCAAUGUCUGAACUUUUAAAUCAACCACACCUCAUACAAAAGGCAAUCGAAGAACUCGAUGGAGUAAUUGGAAGAGAGAGGUGGGUGGAAGAGAAAGACAUUCCGCAACUUCCAUAUAUUGAUGCAAUUAUGAAAGAGACAAUGAGGAAACAUCCUGUGGUUGUAUUGCUUGCACCACAUUUAGCACUUGAAGAUUGUGAUGUAGCUGGUUACAAAAUCUAUAAAGGAACUAGAGUCUUCGUAAACGCAUGGAGUAUUGGGAGAGAUCCUUCACUGUGGGAUGCACCUGAAGAGUUCUAUCCAGAUAGGUUCUUGGGGAAGGAUAUUGAUGUGAAGGGACAAUAUUUUGGACUUUUGCCAUUUGGGUCAGGGAGGAGAAUGUGCCCUGGCUACAGCCUCGGACUAAAGAUGAUUAGUUCGAGCUUGGCUAAUCUGUUACAUGGAUUUGAAUGGAAAUUGCCGGACAAUGUGAAGCCAGGAGAUUUGAGCAUGGAAGAAGUUUAUGGUUUAUCUACUCCUAGAAAGUCCCCACUUGUUGCAGUCCUAAAGCCUCGACUCCCACUCCAUCUAUAUUAGACUAUUAGUUGUAACUUCCAGCAUGAAUAAUCCAGCUUGUUUUAUUUUGAGCCAAAAUAAAAUCUUGUUCCUGUGUGUGGCAUAAUUGAUUGUCAAAUCA